CUGGCCAAGCUCCGCUUCCUGUCUGAAUAUGGAGAAGGUAAAAGGCAAGGAGUGGACCUCCACAGAGAAGGCGAGGGAAGAGGAUCAGCAGGCUUCUAAUCAACCAAACAUGAUUGCUUUGCCAGGAACAUCAGCGAAGGGGGGAACCAAAGGAAAAGUAUCUGUUAAAGGUGACAAAAUGCUCUGCCCUAAGAAGAAGGCAGACUGUGAUAACCCCAGACCUCAGAAGAAGAUACCAAUCCCUCCCUUACCCUCUAAACUGCCACCUGUUAAUCUGAUUCACCGGAACAUCGUACGGGCCUGGUGUCAGCAAUUAAAGCUGAGCACCAGAGGCCAGAAACUGGAUGCGUAUAAGCGCCUGUGUGCCUUUGCUUACCCAAACCAAAAGGAUUUCCCUAGCACAGCAAAAGAGGCCAAAAUCCGGAAGUCAUUGCAAAAUAAAUUAAAGGUGGAAAAAGGGAAAGCGUGCCUGCAGAGUUCUGGGACACAGCCUCCUCAAGUGACCCUUCCCCCUGCGGAGGGGCUGCCUGCUCUGGAAGAGUCCACUGCUCUCCUUGAGGGAGUUAGUACGGUUGUGGUGACAACUUCUGCCCCAGAGGCUGUGCUGGCCUCCUGGGCGAGAAUUUCAGCCAGGGCAAGGACGCCAGAGGCAGUGGAACCUCCACAAGAAGCCAGUGGUGUCAGGUGUUGUGUGGUCCAUGGGAAAAGUCUCCCUGCAGGCACAGAUGGUUGGGUGCACCUGCAGUUUCAUGCUGGUCAAGCCUGGGUUCCAGAAAAGCAAGAAGGGAGAGUGAGUGCGCUCUUCCUGCUUCCUGCCUCCAGUUUUCCACCCCCACACCUUGAAGACAAUAUGUUGUGCCCCAAAUGUGUUCACAGGAACAAGGUCUUAAUAAAAAGCCUCCAAUGGGAAUAGAAUAUCAGGAAAAAGCCCAUAUCUAUGAUAAUUAAUGGCAGAAAGGCUGGAGAGUUGGAUUCUGUGGUGCUGCUGAACAGGUGAACUUGGUCCUCUCCACGCCUGCUUAUGGUCCAUGCAGACUGCUGGGGUGGCAGAUCUUAGCCUAUGACCCCUAGCAGUACCUGUUGCUUUGUAAGUAGAGAUAUGAUAGACUCUUGCAUUUAAAAACGGGAAAACAUUUCACAAAGUACCAUAAAUUGUAGUUAAUAUGUAGAAAAACUUAUUCAUACUACCUUUCUAAAAUAGAAAAGACUUCAGCAGCUGUUCUGUUUUGUUCUGUUUUGUUUUAUUUUAUUUUUU